UACGAAGGGGGCUAGCGUUGUUCGGAAUUACUGGGCGUAAAGCGCGUGUAGGCGGCUUCGCAAGUCGGAUGUGAAAUCCCACGGCUCAACCGUGGAAGUGCAUUCGAAACUGCAAGGCUAGAGUUCUGGAGAGGAAGGUGGAAUGCUUGGUGUAGAGGUGAAAUUCGUAGAUAUCAAGCGGAACACCGGUGGCGAAGGCGGCCUUCUGGACAGUAACUGACGCUGAGACGCGAAAGCGUGGGGAGCAAACAGG
rnacentral:rRNA from 1 species